GACGAACGCUGGCGGCGUGCUUAACACAUGCAAGUCGAACGGAAAGGCCCUGCUUUUGUGGGGUGCUCGAGUGGCGAACGGGUGAGUAACACGUGAGUAACCUGCCCUUGACUUUGGGAUAACUUCAGGAAACUGGGGCUAAUACCGGAUAGGAGCUCCUGCUGCAUGGUGGGGGUUGGAAAGUUUCGGCGGUUGGGGAUGGACUCGCGGCUUAUCAGCUUGUUGGUGGGGUAGUGGCUUACCAAGGCUUUGACGGGUAGCCGGCCUGAGAGGGUGACCGGCCACAUUGGGACUGAGAUACGGCCCAGACUCCUACGGGAGGCAGCAGUGGGGAAUAUUGCACAAUGGGCGGAAGCCUGAUGCAGCAACGCCGCGUGCGGGAUGACGGCCUUCGGGUUGUAAACCGCUUUCGCCUGUGACGAAGCGUGAGUGACGUAAUGGUAAAGAGCCC
rnacentral:rRNA from 1 species